rnacentral:rRNA from 1 species
GACGAACGCUGGCGGUGUGCUUAACACAUGCAAGUCGAACGGCAAGGCCCUGCUUUCGUGGGGUGCUCGAGUGGCGAACGGGUGCGUAACACGAGAGUAACCUGCCCUAGACUUUGGGAUAACUUCAGGAAACUGGACUUAAUACCGGAUCGGAGACCCCGCUGCAUGGUGGGGGUUGGAAAGUUUCGGCGGGCGUGGAUGGACUGGCGGCUUAUCAGUUUGUUGGUGGGGUAGUGGCUUACCCAGGCAUUGACUGAUAGCCGGCCUGAGAGGGUGACCGGCCACAUUGGUACUGAGAUACGGCCCAGACUCGUACGGGAGGCAGCGGGGGGGAAUAUUGUACAAUGAGCGGGAGCCUGAUGCGGCAACGCCGCGUGUGGGAAGACGGCCUGCGGGUUGUGAACCGCAUUCGCCUGUUACGAAGCGUUAGUGACGGUAAUGGGUGAAGAAGCACCGGCUAACUACGUG